rnacentral:rRNA from 1 species
GAUGAACGCUGGCGGCGUGCCUAAUACAUGCAAGUCGAGCGAACAGACGAGGAGCUUGCUCCUCUGACGUUAGCGGCGGGCGGGUGAGUAACACGUGGAUAACCUACCUAUAAGACUGGGAUAACUUCGGGAAACCGGAGCUAAUACCGGAUAAUAUAUUGAACCGCAUGGUUCAUUAGUGAAAGACGGUUUUGCUGUCACUUAUAGAUGGAUCCGCGCCGCAUUAGCUAGUUGGUAAGGUAACGGCUUACCAAGGCAACGAUGCGUAGCCGACCUGAGAGGGUGAUCGGCCACACUGGAACUGAGACACGGUCCAGACUCCUACGGGAGGCAGCAGUAGGGAAUCUUCCGCAAUGGGCGAAAGCCUGACGGAGCAACGCCGCGUGAGUGAUGAAGGUCUUCGGAUCGUAAAACUCUGUUAUUAGGGAAGAACAAAUGUGUAAGUAACUAUGCACGUCUUGACGGUACCUAAUCAGAAAGCCACGGCUAACUACGUG